AGUCCCGGUAAACCCGCAUGGUGAUUGGUUAAAGUAGAGGGGAGGUUCAAACUUCUCCCAACCAAUCCGCAUGUGGCUUUACCGGGACUUACAUUUCAUGGCGAAUCAGAACACAAGAAGCCAGUCAUCGGAGCUCUGAUGCAGGGGCCGGCUGUGCAAGUAAAUGCAAUCCCGUUUUUGGCUGUCUGUCCCGCUGUCCCGGAUAGUGGACUCUGAUGUCCCGCAUCCUGUCACCCAACUCUCGCGGCUGAAGCAGCGAACAAAAUUAUGCCUAAUGAGACGCACCGCACGAGCCUCCGAACAGCGCCGGUCGACCUGAUUGGAUGGUGUGGAUCAUGUGACACUGUGGGUGAUGUACCGCAUUCCCACGAGUACCCUGCCUCUGCUUCCCUGGCUGCUGCUCUGGCGGCGGAUCCGUGUGGGGGACUUUUAUGCAGGAAAGACGCCUGCAGAUCCUAUUCCAGGAGUUGAACGUCAACAAGUGCUGCGGGUGCAUCUGCUGGGGGCCGGGAUAUACCAAGUGCUCAUAGGGGUGCAUAAGGGAGCAGCAUUGACUAGCAUGCAUGUAUAAAUAUUAUAUUUUACAUCACUGGUUGCUAUUGGCUAGGCCACUCCAGAAGGUCAUGGCAUGAUGGUCUUAAAGGGAAACUGCACUCAAAAACUUUAAGUAGUGAUUAUAUUUAACUUUAUACUUAUUAAAACUUGAAGUGUUUUGGAAAGCU